rnacentral:rRNA from 1 species
GACGAACGCUGGCGGCGUGCUUAACACAUGCAAGUCGAACGGUGAAGCGCCUUCCUUUUUGGUUGGUGUGGAUGAGUGGCGAACGGGUGAGUAACACGUGCGUAACCUGCCCCCUUCUUCUGGAUAACCGCAUGAAAGUGUGGCUAAUACGGGAUAUUCUGGGUCUGUCGCAUGAUGGGUCUGGGAAAGAUAUUGUUUCGGUGGGGGAUGGGCUCGCGGCCUAUCAGCUUGUUGGUGGGGUGAUGGCCUACCAAGGCGGUGACGGGUAGCCGGCCUGAGAGGGUGGACGGUCACACUGGGACUGAGACACGGCCCAGACUCCGACAGGAAGCAGCAGUGGGGAAUAUUGCACAGUGGGCGCAAGCCUGAUGCAGCGACGCCGCGGGAGGGAUGGAGGCCUGCGGGUUGUGAACCUCUUUCGCCAGUGAAGCAGGCCUGCCUCGUAUGUGGGUGGGUUGACGGUAGCUGGAUAAGAAGCGCCGGCUAACUACGUG